rnacentral:rRNA from 1 species
CAGUCGCCACGGUAAUACGAAGGGGGCUAGCGUUGUUCGGAAUUACUGGGCGUAAAGGGCGCGUAGGCGGCCAUUCAAGUUAGAUGUGAAAGCCCUGGGCUCAACCUAGGAAUUGCAUUUGAUACUGUUUGGCUUGAGUUCGGGAGAGGUGAGUGGAAUUCCCAGUGUAGAGGUGAAAUUCGUAGAUAUUGGGAAGAACACCAGUGGCGAAGGCGGCUCACUGGACCGACACUGACGCUGAGGCGCGAAAGCGUGGGGAGCAAACAGGAUUAGAGCCCCAGUAGUCCCUGUCUCUUAUACA